rnacentral:snoRNA from 1 species
UUUCCAUGACGAUAACUUUGUCCAGUUCUGCUACUGAAUGCAAGUGGUGACAGCAAAGACUCUGAGAA